rnacentral:rRNA from 1 species
AUUGGACGCUGGCGGCAUGCCUUACACAUGCAAGUCGAACGGCAGCACGGGUGCUUGCCCCUGGUGGCGAGUGGCGAACGGGUGAGUAAUACAUCGGAACAUGUCCUGUAGUGGGGGAUAGCCCGGCGAAAGCCGGAUUAAUACCGCAUACGAUCUACGGAUGAAAGCGGGGGACUUUCGGGCCUCGCGCUAUAGGGUUGGCCGAUGGCUGAUUAGCUAGUUGGUGGGGUAAAGGCCUACCAAGGCGACGAUCAGUAGCUGGUCUGAGAGGACGACCAGCCACACUGGGACUGAGACACGGCCCAGACUCCUACGGGAGGCAGCAGUGGGGAAUUUUGGACAAUGGGCGAAAGCCUGAUCCAGCAAUGCCGCGUGUGUGAAGAAGGCCUUCGGGUUGUAAAGCACUUUUGUCCGGAAAGAAAUCCUUGGCCCUAAUACGGUCGGGGGAUGACGGUACCGGAAGAAUAAGCACCGGCUAACUACGUG